AAGUCGUAACAAGGUUUCCGUAGGUGAACCUGCGGAAGGAUCAUUAUCGAGUCUUUGAAAGUGGGCUUGAUGCUGGCGCUCUCGGGCGCAUGUGCUCGGCCUGCUGCUCAUCCACUCCAACCCCUGUGCACGCUCGAAGCGCGUCGGUCCUCCGUCGUGGGAGCAGCUCCUUCUGGGAGCCGGGAUCGCGCGCUUCGCUCUUUAUUAUACCCCUUGCAUAUUGUCUUGUAGAAUGCUUAGCCUCUUAGUGGGCGAAAUGUAAUACAACUUUCAACAACGGAUCUCUUGGCUCUC
rnacentral:misc_RNA from 1 species